rnacentral:rRNA from 1 species
UACGGAGGGUGCAAGCGUUAUCCGGAUUCACUGGGUUUAAAGGGUGCGUAGGUGGGCAGGUAAGUCAGUGGUGAAAUCUCUAAGCUUAACUUAGAACUGCCGUUGAUACUAUCUGUCUUGAAUAUAGUGGAGGUGAGCGGAAUAUGUCAUGUAGCGGUGAAAUGCUUAGAUAUGACAUAGAACACCGAUUGCGAAGGCAGCUUGCUACACUAUUACUGACACUGAGGCACGAAAGCGUGGGGAUCGAAACAGG